GACGAACGCUGGCGGCGUGCUUAACACAUGCAAGUCGAACGGAAAGGCCCUGCUUUUGUGGGGUGCUCGAGUGGCGAACGGGUGAGUAACGCGUGAGUAACCUGCCCUUGACUUUGGGAUAACUUCAGGAAACUGGGGCUAAUACCGGAUAGGAGCUCCUGCUGCAUGGUGGGGGUUGGAAAGUUUCGGCGGUUGGGGAUGGACUCGCGGCUUAUCAGCUUGUUGGGGGGGGAGUGGCUUACCAAGGGUUUGACGGGUAGCCGGCCUGAGAGGGUGACCGGCCACAUUGGGACUGAGAUACGGCCCAGACUCCUACGGGAGGCAGCAGUGGGGAAUAUUGCACAAUGGGCGGAAGCCUGAUGCAGCAACGCCGCGUGCGGGAUGACGGCCUUCGGGUUGUAAACCGCUUUCGCCUGUGACGAAGCGUGAGUGACGGUAAUGGGUAAAGAAGCACCGGCUAACUACGUG
rnacentral:rRNA from 1 species